rnacentral:rRNA from 1 species
AUACACCGAAGCUGCGGCAAUGUCUUUUAGACAUUGGGUAGGGGAGCGUUCUGUAAGCCGUUGAAGGUGAAUCGUAAGGUUUGCUGGAGGUAUCAGAAGUGCGAAUGCUGACAUGAGUAACGACAAAGGGGGUGAAAAACCUCCUCGCCGGAAGACCAAGGGUUCCUGUCCAACGUUAAUCGGGGCAGGGUGAGUCGACCCCUAAGGUGAGGCCGAAAGGCGUAAUCGAUGGGAAACGGGUUAAUAUUCCCGUACUUCUGACUAUUGCGAUGGGGGGACGGAGAAGGCUAGGUGGGCCAGGCGACGGUUGUCCUGGUUCAAGUGCGUAGGCUUGAGAGUUAGGUAAAUCCGGCUCUCUCUAAGGCUGAGACACGACGUCGAGCUACUACGGUAGUGAAGUCAUUGAUGCCAUGCUUCCAGGAAAAGCCUCUAAGCUUCAGAUAGUCAGGAAUCGUACCCCAAACCGACACAGGUGGUCGGGUAGAGAAUACCAAGGCGCUUGAGAGAACUCGGGUGAAGGAACUAGGCAAAAUGGUACCGUAACUUCGGGAGAAGGUACGCUCUUGAUGGUGAAGUCCCUCGCGGAUGGAGCUGACGAGAGUCGCAGAUACCAGGUGGCUGCAACUGUUUAUUAAAAACACAGCACUGUGCAAAAUCGCAAGAUGACGUAUACGGUGUGACGCCUGCCCGGUGCCGGAAGGUUAAUUGAUGGGGUUAGCGCAAGCGAAGCUCUUGAUCGAAGCCCCGGUAAACGGCGGCCGUAACUAUAACGGUCCUAAGGUAGCGAAAUUCCUUGUCGGGUAAGUUCCGACCUGCACGAAUGGCGUAAUGAUGGCCACGCUGUCUCCACCCGAGACUCAGUGAAAUUGAAAUCGCUGUGAAGAUGCAGUGUACCCGCGGCUAGACGGAAAGACCCCGUGAACCUUUACUACAGCUUGGCACUGAACAUUGAACCUACAUGUGUAGGAUAGGUGGGAGGCUAUGAAGACGUGACGCCAGUUGCGUUGGAGCCGUCCUUGAAAUACCACCCUUGUAUGUUUGAUGUUCUAACUUAGACCCAUUAUCUGGGUUGAGGACAGUGCCUGGUGGGUAGUUUGACUGGGGCGGUCUCCUCCCAAAGAGUAACGGAGGAGCACGAAGGUGGGCUAAUCACGGUUGGACAUCGUGAGGUUAGUGCAAUGGCAUAAGCCCGCUUAACUGCGAGAAUGACGGUUCGAGCAGGUGCGAAAGCAGGUCAUAGUGAUCCGGUGGUUCUGUAUGGAAGGGCCAUCGCUCAACGGAUAAAAGGUACUCCGGGGAUAACAGGCUGAUACCGCCCAAGAGUUCAUAUCGACGGCGGUGUUUGGCACCUCGAUGUCGGCUCAUCACAUCCUGGGGCUGAAGUCGGUCCCAAGGGUAUGGCUGUUCGCCAUUUAAAGUGGUACGCGAGCUGGGUUUAGAACGUCGUGAGACAGUUCGGUCCCUAUCUGCCGUGGG